rnacentral:rRNA from 1 species
CUCUCAUUCGUCCCUCUCGUCUCCCUCUUUCUGGAUCUCGUCCUCUCUCGUCGCCGGCGCUUCUCCUUCUCGAUUCGACGCCGUCCUUCAGGUGGUUUCCCACCCUACCCCGCGCUCGCCUCCCUACCCAGGCGCCGUCAUCUCCUUCGCCGCCGGGAGCUCGACCGGGAUGCCUGCUCACGCUCACGGAGGCCGAGGCGGCUGGGCUGCUCUGGUUUGCGCGGCCGCCUCGGCCUCGGACUGAGAGGGCGGGCGAACGACGGGAUGAUGGUGGAGGCAGCCGACCGACGGACGGACUCACCGCUCCUCGGGGCCAGCCCCUCCCCUCCCCCGCACCGGACCGUGCAUCGGCUUGGAGGCCCCUCGGGGCCGCCGCCGCUGCGGGAGCCGUCCGCGGCCGUGCGGGCUGGGGACCGAGCGGCGGGUUUCGAUUGAGGGCUUGGCCGGGCCGGCGCGGGAUCUGAUCUGAGCCGCCGUCCAUGGAUUUCUCGCAGCUUGGCUGCAUCUUGCUUAGGAUUUGGUACUACCUCCGUCCUGUCCUGGUUAGUGCUCCCCUGCAUACUCCCUCCCUCUCUCUCUCCCUCGGUGUGGACGCCCGCACCUGAACCCAAACCCUAACCCGAAUCAGGCGAGCGCUCGUUGCCGGAUCGCUGAACCAUCCUCCCGGUGGCCGCCGCGUCAGUUCCGCACCGCUACAGCGCCGCCAGCCGCCGCCGCUCCAUUGGCUUGGAUUUGGUUGCGGCGUGGGCUUGGAACCGUACGGUGUUUGUGGUCUGAUGCGUGUUCCGCGCUGGGAGGUUUGGUCGGCUGACGCCAGGUAUGAGCAGCUCCUGAGCCUGAUCGCUCCAUGCGUGCACGCAUGCAUGAAUGUGAUGUGUACUCCCUCUGUAAAGAAAUAUCAUGGUCAUGUUGCUUGGUGUGCAACCUCUUUCUCAUCAGAGAAAAUAGUGGCGGAGCUAUGAUGAAGAUUGUUGCUGAAAUAAUCAUUGUCUUGAGCAAUCAAGACACUGGUGCUGGUGGUGGUGGAUACUAAGCAUCUACAGCCGGACUUGCUGACUGACCCAUCAUUUCGGUGGCCGCCCUCUCAAUCCCGUCGCUAUGGUGCCGCCAGCCACCGACAUUCCAUUGCCUUGGAUCCGGUUGUGGCGUGGGCUGGGAACCGCACGGUCUUAUCUGAGAGGUGUGCUCCGAGCUGGAGGUUUGGUUGGUUGAGGCCAGGUAUGAGCAGCUCCUCAGACUGAUGGAUGGAUGGCCACCACGGAGGUGACAGCAGGUGAAGCGUGGACUCCUUCGGGUUGUUGUAGUCAGUGAGGCUGCGGCCAUCGUCCAGCUGCUUACCAGCAAAGAUAAGGCCCUGCUGGUCAGGGCGGAUGCCCUCCUUGUCCUUGAUCUUGGCCUUGACAUUGUCAAUGGUGUCAGAACUCUCAACCCGAGUGACGUAUGCAUGCAUGCAUGUGUGUACCAUGCUGCGGCCGAAAUCAGUGUUUUGACCCUUUUUGGAAAAGCUCAGCACAAAAUGAACCAUGUUGGAAUAAGAGACGAGUGGAUGCCGGAGGCUCCUCAGCGAUCGCGGUUCUCAGCCGUUGGAUCGGGCCGCUUGAUGCGUUUUCGUCCGUUGGAUCGACAUCUGGAGGAAUCUGCGCCGUCGGAUCGAAAUCGGAUCGAAAAAAUCUACUGCUGGCGCCUCCCCCCGCUCGUUUUUACUUCGUUUUUACCGUUCUGAAGUCGCUGACGUGUGGGUCCGUUCGCGGGUGGGCCUCCGUUGUCAGCGACCGUGGCUUGGUUCCGGUCCGGUCGCCCCGUCGCGCGCGUCGGCGGGGGAAAGAUCUCAUGCCACCGCAUGUAAAAUCCUGCCCCCGCCGAGGGUGUUUCGGUCUUUUCGCUCCCGGGGGUCGUGCGUGGCGUGCGGUGGUUUGCUCGUCCGGCUAUGGGGUGGGGGAGGGCAGCGACCCACCCUUUCGUCCUCUCAUUCGUCCCUCUCGUCUCCCUCUUUCUGGAUCUCGUUCUCUCUCGUCGCCGGCGCUUCUCCUUCUCGAUUCGACACCGUCCUUCGGGUGGUUUCCCACCCUACCUUUUGGGUGAACCAUGUUGGAAACUUAUCUGGGGCGAUGAUGAUAAAAUUUGGCUGACAUAAACUUUUCUUCGAUUAUUCGAGGAGCUAUGGGCAUAAAAAACCCACUCCCCCCUCUUUUCGAACCUUUUCAUUCUCACUGAAUAUUGACGGCUCUCUCUUGGAUGGUCAUUCUGUUGAGUGAUAACCAGAGGAGCUCGACUUCAUUGGUGGGGGUUGAUCUGGUGAAAGAAGAUGGUGGAGCUAGGUUGUAUGAUAUAUCAAAGGCGAAUCUGAGCCCUCUCAAAUCUCAAUGCAACUAAUAUUGUGCCUUCUACACAUUUAUUUAUUCUUAUCGCCUUUUGAUGUUUAGAAGUGAUGAAUUGUCACGGUUCUGGCAUUUGCUAUCUCAUUAGGAGCAGAUACACGCAAAUCACCUCUUGUGGUGUUUGGUUUGCCUUCUCGUGAUUUUGUUGUCCAUUGUGGGAGCCAGUUUGGUGCAUUCGGGCUUUUUCUUUUCUGUUCUUACUUUUCCUUGAAUGGUUGUGAUAAUUCUGCUGUCUCUUGGAUAGUUUUUGGGGUUACCUUAUUGGGGUCGGGGUCAGUUUGCUUGUUUCAUUUGCUAUUUGACUUUUGAUAAUCUCAUUCUUCUACUAUAUUCUUUAUCUACUUAUCAAUUUGUACUUUUGGUUACUCCUCACUUCUUUACUGGUUUCAACUUAAGGGUCAUAUAGGGUGUUUAGAUGUCAAGAUUAUGGUUUCUUUCAUGUCAUGUUCAUGAAUGGCUGUGAUGAUAUAGCUUCUCUGUGAGAGCUUCUAUCUAACACCUGAAUUGAUUCAGUUGGUGCUAAACUAGGAUGGUUUGUGUCAUAGCAAUUAACCAGUUUAACUGGGGCGAUGAUGAUAAAACAUGGCUGACAUAAACUUGUCUUCGAUUAUUCUGAGUAAAAAUGAUAGUUUCCUCAACAAAAUUUUAACUGAUCUUUCCCUUUUUGGGAAUUUGUGUUCUUGCUCACUAGCAUCCAUGUAAAAUCAUGUUCUGGUGGAUGCAAAGGACUGUUUUGCAAGUUAGUAUCAUUUUGUUGGUUUUGCAGUAUGUCAACCAGUUCUGUUGUUUUAGGAACAGUACUCCAGCCGUACUUAUUCUUGUCUUCCGUUCUUUUGUUUCUGUUCUUCCUUAUUCUUGAAAGGCUAUGAUAAUUCUGCUGUCCCUUGGAUAGUUUUUGAAACCAUUUUAUUUGGUGCUGGGUCAGUUUGCUUCUAUUUGACUUGACAAUUUCAUCCUUCUUUUCUAUUCUUUAUCUACUUAUCAGUUUGUACUUUUGGUUACUCUUUACUAAGUUAUUGGCUUCAACUUAAGGGUUGUAUAGGGCAAGUUCAGAUGUCAAGAUUACUGUUUCUUUCGUGUCAUGUUCAUGAAUGGCUGUGAUGAUAUAGCUUCCCCGUGAGAGCUUCUAUCAAACACCUGAAUUGAUUCAAUUGGUGCUAAACUAGGAUGGAUCGUGUCACAACAAGUAACCAGUUUAGCGGCUAAUUAUUACUCCCUCCGUUCACAAAUAUAAGAUGUUCAUGGUUAUUCUACCAGAAGUUCAGUUAUGGCGUCGAGAUGGGGUAUAUCUGAGCCAUUUACUUGUGCAUGUCCCAGUUUUUGUGUCCACCAGAUCAUGAUUUGCUCCUGAUAUAGUGAUUCUUUCUGCUUUCACCGAUUCUUGUGUGGUUUCUGGUCAUCUUUUGUUCUUUGAGAAUUGGCUUCUCUCUGUUACUCUUUUUGUGGGAUUGCGCCAAGUGUUGUUGAUGGCAAUGAUGAGCAAGGCUCAUUCAGAGGUGUACUGUGAUCAGAUACCAUCGCUUGUUUUUAUGGUAUGGGUUGGGGUUAGGGUUUUGUGUGACUAGGUGGAAGUGUGCAAAUCAGGACGGCUUGCUUUCGGUGAGCAACCAUUUGAAUGCUGAAAUGUCCACGGGUUUAAGGGCAUCUCCAACAUGGAUCACUAAACUUAUCGGAUACAGAGUGGCUAUAUGAUAGACGAGCCAACUCUGAGCCUCCCAUUUUUUUAAUUAAAUAUGACCUCUCUUUCUACAAUUUGUGGUUAUGUGCUUAUGUAUAUUUUUGAAUAUUAUUGGUUUGGUUCUUCUCAAUAUAUUAAUGAUUUAUAUAGCAGUAUUGGGAUCUCACUGUAGUAUAUGUUAUCAUCUACGACACUUAUGAGAUAGCUCAUAGCAAACAGGAUGUUGAGCUAUUUUAUGCUCAGAAUGCUUUGAAUUAGUAAAUGCAUCAAUAGGUUCUACUUUGUUUGAAUAAAAAACAAUCAUGUGUGCCGAGGGCCCGGGAAGCAAGCAGAGGGUUUCGCAUCUCUUGUUCAAACUAUGCUAUUAUUUGCAACUGUAUGUCCUUUGUUACUUGCAUGUUCUGUUUCUUUGCCCCAUUUAGUCGUUCCUGCAUUUUAUUCAUGGUUUUCUUCCUUUCAUACCUUUGUUGUCUUAUUGUAUAAAUUGUGCUACAUUGCUCUUUUUCAUUCAUGCAUUUGCUGCACUAUGGCACCUCAGCAAUAAGAUACAGUAUUACAUUUCGUCUUUGUUGUCUUCAAUAAGAUACUGUAUCUAUUUGGUUUUGAUUCUACCCAUUUAUUUUUGGUAUACAUGAUUUAUAGCAGUGUUGGGAUAUCGCUGAAAUAUAUGUUCUCAUCGACGACACGUAGAGUUAUGCUCAUAAAGAACUGGAUAUUGAGCUAUUUUACUCUUCCUGCACUAGCUGAUGCAUCAAUAGGCUCUACUUUGUUUCAAUUAAAAACAAUCCUGUGUGCCAAGGGCCCUUGGAAGAGGCAGAGGGCUUUGCAUCUUCGCUUAGCUUUCCCAUUGAGUCGUUGUGCAUUUUAUUCUGCGCAAGGUUUUCUUCUCUUAAUGUACAAAUUGUGCUACGUUUCUCGAGCAUCUGCAUCAGCAAAGAAUAUAUAUACGUACUAGAUUUUUGGUCUUUUAUGCCAUUAUAUAUUUAUUUAGUUUUGAAUCUGCCCUUUUAUUUUGCUACACGGUAUGUCCAUCUAAUCUGCAGCUCUCCCCCUAUUUCUAUUUUUGCCUCUUCUCUUCAUUGUAAAAAUUGUGCUACGUUCCCCUUUUUCAUUUUAUUUCCCUUGGACUCUAAAUACGUGCCCACAUCUGGGGAUUUCAGGUCGCCAUGGUCGCCGACCAGCUCCUUGAUCAGAACGCGAUGGCCGACGACGAGCUCCGUGAUCAGAUCACGCUGGCGCCCGAGAAACUCCCUGUUCCUAACCCAGCGCCUUCCGCCUGCUCCACCAACAACUGUCUGCGGGGGCUUGCACAGGUUUCGCCAUAUCAUCUUGGAUACUGUGUUUGAGAAAGUUGGCCUUCCAUCAGCUGCCUACUCUGCACCGAGCUCCUCUUCCAGUUCAGGCAACACCAUGGCUGAUGGAUCCUCCGCAAUGGCAACCUCGUUCGUGAACGUCCUGAUAGAUGAUGGGCUGCUGAUCAAGAACCUUCCUCCGGUUAAGUUGAAAGCUCUUAUUGUAUCGUUCUUCUCUUCAUUCCUCAAUUUCAUGGCUCAUGGCAUGCUAAUAUAAAAAGUUUACCUCCUGCACAAUCAAAGCUGUCUCCAAUCCACGUCACCAUCAGCAAGCAAUUCAUUCUUGAACGAGCAAUUGAAACAAUUGGUGGCACACUCCAUCCAUUCACUUUUACCGGUACAAGCAGCGAUGAUGUCGACGUCUCUCUCUCCAUUGACCUACCUCCCCACAGCAAAAGCAUGUCAAGCACAAGAAAGGAAUUCCAUGCCCCACACAUCGAAUCUACAUGUGUUGCUGCCCUCGCGUACCUACAGAAAACAGGUAUAGUCACAAUCGAUGAUGCAAACUUUGCAGAGCUGAAAAUAUGCAAAAGGGAACUUCAGGCUGAGGAGUUCUGGUCCUCGACUCUCUAUGAUAAGGCCAAUGCCCUGGGCAACCAGCUCUCUUUACUGACUGCCGCCAAGCAGAAACCCCAGCCUGAGGAUAAACAAGGAGCUGCUGUGUUGCCUCCUAACCAUCAUAAUACUCCACAGACCAGGCAGAAAGUGCUUUCCGAGCAUGCCACUGGAAGGGAAACCACAUCAACCCCUGUCACAGAAACAAACAAUAGGUUCGUGCGAGGUAGUCCCUAUGAAGUACAUCGACAAGCCGGAUGGAUUACGGCGCCUAUUAGUAUGCUUAGUGAUAAUGACUCCUUAGUUGACAAUGUUUAUUAUGUUCUUGCUCUUAUUACCUUCUCUUAUGUGUUCUCGCUUUUGGUAUUGAACCUGAUGUCAAAUGGCUAUCUUUUGUGGUCAUGUAAACGCACCAAGUUUGAUUCUGCCUUAUAAACCAAUGUUUAUCUUGUGCUCCAUCGUGCUUUAUUUUUUAC